GGUUUAUGCAAACAUCAAAUGUGGCAUCCCACAUGGCAGCAGCAGAAAAGCAGUGGGGUAGAAGAUAAGUGAUAAUGAGGUUACCCCGGAAUGCAGUUGGUUGGCUGGCGUGCAAAGGUUGGUCUCAAACUCCUGGCCUCAAGUGAUCCUCCUGCCUCAGCCUCCGAAGUGUUGUGAUUACAGACAUGAGCCACUGUGCCCAGCUGAGGUUAUUUUCUAUGUAAAUCUCGAUGUUCUGGAAUUGACAAGGUCUCGCUUUGUCACCCAGGCUGCAGUUCAGUGGUCUGAUCACAGCUCACUGCAGCCUCGACCUCCUGGGCCCAAGCAAUCCUUCUACCCCAGCCUCCUGAGGAGCUGA